CGAGGAAAUGUCUGACGUGACGUUCAUGGUGGAAGGACGACCGUCCUUCGGCCACCGGGUUCUGCUCAUGUCCGCGUCUGAAAGAAUCACGGCGCUGGUCAGUGAGACAAAUGUUGGAUAAAAUGCAACAUGUUUAGACUACAGACGGUUUUCACGUUGGAUUUACUGGAAUGAAAAGAUCCGAAUCAGUUUGUUUUACUUUUAUCAGUUUCCUUCAUCGUUAUGUUUGUGUGACGAUGUUUUUGGUCCCAUUGCUGAAUAACUGCAGCGCUGCUGUGUGACGUAUUUACAGAAGUCAGACUGUUUUCAUUACUACCACAGCAACAUGCAAAAAACACAAAUCUCAAUUCAGUAUCCAGACCUUUUGUCCUGGUAAAUGUUUUCUCGUCUUUCCUAUUUUGAAAAGGAGUUGGAAGAAUAAAACCUCUGCUGGUUCGUCUUGAUAAACCUGAGACCCAGUUUCUGUCAGCAGCGAUGCUCUCCAACACUCUGACUGCAGACAACGCUGUGAGCCGGUACCGGGUCGCCAUGGUACCGAAACACGAGUUCAGUCCUCCAGAACCGGAACAGAAAAUUCUGAAGCUGACUGGAUGAAGCUUUGACCUUCUGCUCACAACCAGAGAGGCGUUUUUAUUUCUGGACCUCUGAGUGAAACGUGUUCUCUCUGAACCCGUCCUAAUGGAUCCGGUUCUGGUUCUCCCUGCGUCUCUGCAGCGGUUGAGCUCUGCCGGUUCUGUGAGGGAUUCUUCCUGCAGAAUCUGGACCGGCUGCUGGACAGAGAGGCCUUCCACCGCCUGUUGCUGGGCGACACCAGUAGGGGAGCGCCGUCUGGGUCGGGACGGGACCAGAACCUGGACCUCCUGCUGGUUCUGAGGAGCCUGGAGGCGGCGCUGAUCCAGACUUUCUGACCGGAUGGACCGGAUCGUCUCUGUAACAUCACAAGGGAAAACGUUGCCAGUGGUUCUCCUGCUCCGAGUCCGUUCAGUGUGCUCUGGAUUCCCGCAGUAGAAAAAGCGAAG